AUGAGAGAGCUUGCUCUCUGAUUCAGCGGCGGACGGGUGAGUAAUGCCUAGGAAUCUGCCUGGUAGUGGGGGACAACGUCUCGAAAGGGACGCUAAUACCGCAUACGUCCUACGGGAGAAAGCAGGGGACCUUCGGGCCUUGCGCUAUCAGAUGAGCCUAGGUCGGAUUAGCUAGUUGGUGAGGUAAUGGCUCACCAAGGCGACGAUCCGUAACUGGUCUGAGAGGAUGAUCAGUCACACUGGAACUGAGACACGGUCCAGACUCCUACGGGAGGCAGCAGUGGGGAAUAUUGGACAAUGGGCGAAAGCCUGAUCCAGCCAUGCCGCGUGUGUGAAGAAGGUCUUCGGAUUGUAAAGCACUUUAAGUUGGGAGGAAGGGCAGUAACUUAAUACGUUGCUGUUUUGACGUUACCGACAGAAUAAGCACCGGCUAACUCUGUGCCAGCAGCCGCGGUAAUACAGAGGGUGCAAGCGUUAAUCGGAAUUACUGGGCGUAAAGCGCGCGUAGG
rnacentral:rRNA from 1 species